UGAGGAAUAUUGGGCAAUGCCCGCAAGGGUGACCCAGCAACGCCGCGUGGAGGAUGAAUGUCGUAAGAUUGUAAACUCCUGUUAGAGGGGAAGAAUAGUACCGGUUGGACCGGUAUAUGACUGUACCCUCAGAGAAAGCCCCGGCUAACUACGUGCCAGCAGCCGCGGUAAUACGUAGGGGGCAAGCGUUGUCCGGAUUUACUGGGUGUAAAGGGCGCGCAGGCGGGAUAAAAAGUCAGUGGUGAAAUCCUACAGCUUAACUGUAGAACUGCCUUUGAUACUUUUAUUCUUGAGUUCGGGAGAGAGAGACGGAAUUCCAGGUGGAGUGGUGAAAUACGUAGAUAUCUGGAAGAACACCAGUUGCGAAGGCGGUCUCUUGGUCCGACACUGACGCUGAGGCGCGAAAGCGUGGGGA
rnacentral:rRNA from 1 species